UUCGCGUACGAUCUCCGAAGUUAAGCAACGUCCUGGUCAGUACCCAGAUGGGUGACCGCUUGGGAAUACCAGGUGCUGUAAG